AUUUGAUUUGGAAAAACUUGAAAAUCAACUAAACGAGCAGCCCGAACAAAUGAAGAAACUGGUAGCCUACUUUGGAAUCAUUGGUGUUUUCCACUAAGCAGUUUGGUGUGUCCCGGGAAAGCUUUUGGCUCACUUUUUGGCUGAACAAAUUAACUGGAGCAGGGCAAACCAAAAUGUGGCCUUUCAUGCACUCUCCCUUACGACUGUCUAGUCAAUGUAGUGAGGAGAAAUGUCCAUACCACAUCACUGAUAAAGAAGUGGAAAAAUGCAUUACAAGGUGGCUACAACGUGCUCCUGACAGGGCUGGAGGAAGGAGGGAAAAAGAGAAAGCUAAUGUGUCAAAUGUCUACAUCAAUAAUUUAUUUUUUAAACAACAUUUUAAGUGUAUUAAGAUGUUCCCUGAUACUUGGGUAAUUUGUUU